GAGCGAUGUGAGCGCUGAGUGAAAUAAAGACAAGGAAGGUGAUUAUUUCGGCUGGGCUCCCCAGAAGCAGGCUCCAGAUGAAAACCUGGGGAUGUGUACUUUAUUUGGGAGAGGCCCUCAGUGGGCCUUGGAAGAGGUUGGGGAGCCAGGUGGGACGCCUGGGACCUGCUUUCCAGUGUCCAUGCUCACCCUUGCAGCCUCUUUGCAAGUCCGCACAGCAGAGACAAUGGGAGCCCCCUGGCCUGGCAGUCUGUCACCAGAGAAGGACAGGAACUCGGGGUAAUUCCUUUCUCUCCCAGGAUGAGUUCGGGGGGCAUCCCCUCUGAUGUGGGCUCAGGACUUGCCCUGUCUUGUGUCCUUGUCCCACAAGCCUAUGAUGAUAAAAGGGAAAGUCACAUUUAUGAAUAUUUUAUUAACACAUGAUUGUGGCAAUAAUUUCUCCCCCUUCCCCCUCCUAAGUUAUUUAUUUUAAGAAGAGCAGCUGUUGGUCUGCCUGGCGGCCCUGCCCAAUGAUCUAUCCACUAUAUAUUCUGCUUUGGAAGGUUUCGUGAUAGGUUGUUCCAAAGUCAGCUAUUAAGAAUUUCACAGUCAUAUAUAAAUCUCUGUGCUUUGUGUCAUAACGGAUCAUUUUGAAUUACAUUAAGAAUCAUCUUCAGGGCCAGGGAUUUAGCUCAGUGGUUUAGCUGCCUGCUUUGCAAGUGCAAGGACCCGAGUUUGAUUCCCGGCACCCCCCCCCCACCCCAAAAGAAUCAUCUUCAUUAAUCAAGCCUCUUUUUUUUCAUGAAGAUAGUGCUCUCUUCCCAGUGUGCCUGGCUUCCUUAACUGAGUUUGAAAGCCCUGGUCCUAUUUUACAAAACCGGUAUCGUCCCUGUGGGGAGAUGUGGGGCCAUAUAACCACAGUCAGGGUUUUUGAACCCAUAAAGGAAUAACAGCCACUGCUAGUGUGGGUUCAGUGUUUGACGGUUUCAGAAGCACUUACACCUCAGUGAUGUCUGUGAUCUGAUCAGACUCAGGCAAUAAUCCAGUGAGAAAAACUGCCUCCCACUAGCUGGGGGCAGGUCUGAGCCUGUUUCCUCCUCUGCACAAUGGGGCUCCUGCUGGUGUGAUGGCCUACCCGACUCCAUCUUGUGCCUCAGUGCCAUUUUGUACCUGUGCUUGAACAAAGUGACUGCACAUAAACAAAGCACCCAAAGCCCCCCCGCAUCCUGCUUUGCAGUAAACUUGCUACAGUUGCAGAAUGUUUUGUAGCUCACCUAGUGUGUGUGAAACUUCCUUGAACCCCCGACUAACCUGGCAUGAUUCUGCUUCUGUAAGAUUCCGCUUGCUCUCCCCUGAGCCCUCCCCAACUGAAAGCAUGAUUUGAAAGGUGAAAUCAAACUGCUUCCCAUUGCCGAGGAAAGAUUCUGGGCGCUAGUCCCCCGCAGCCGCUGGCUAUAAUACAUGGGCUUGAAUCUGGCACAGAGUGUGGCACAUCUCUAUCCGAACUCGCUCAUCCACAACAGCUGGAGGCCCCAGCGAGAUGGCCACAGUGGGUGGACUGGCCUUGCUGUGAUCCCUCCCAUCUGCGGCAGCAAACUACAGGGGAGGCGCCCCCUGAGAUGUUCCAGGGCCCCGUAUUCUCACUGCUGACACUGAAGGGACUGCACACACCUGAGACGCCCUCCAAAUUUUCUGGAGCUCAUCUGGUCUGGAGGUCACCACCUCAGGAAGACGCAGUCCAGAGAUUCUCUUACCUUUGAGGGAGCCCCCUCCUCCGGAUGGAGCAGGACUGGGAACCAGCCUGUUCCUGGUAUAUAUCUCCUUUUCCACUUCUGACCUCUACAACUGGAAAACCCAGGACCCACCAUUCUCUGAGAAGCCCCAGGUUUUGAUGUCCAUGAUAGAGUCGAUCUGUAGCACUCAUCUACCAAUUAUAUGUGAUUGCCAUCUCUAGGUGCUCAUGUGAUCUUUGCACAAAUGUAUGGAAAGAGAGAGAAUGAGUAAGCUGUUUUGUGUCACUUUUGGGGGAGAGGUACUAGGAAUUGAACCCAGG
rnacentral:lncRNA from 1 species